UGGCGAGUGGCGAACGGGUGAGUAAUACAUCGGAAUGUACCUUGUAGUGGGGGAUAGCUCGGCGAAAGCCGGAUUAAUACCGCAUACGCUCUGAGGAGGAAAGCGGGGGACCUUCGGGCCUCGUGCUACAAGAGCAGCCGAUGUCAGAUUAGCUUGUUGGUGAGGUAAAAGCUCACCAAGGCGACGAUCUGUAGCUGGUCUGAGAGGACGACCAGCCACACUGGGACUGAGACACGGCCCAGACUCCUACGGGAGGCAGCAGUGGGGAAUUUUGGACGAUGGGCGAAAGCCUGAUCCAGCAAUGCCGCGUGUGUGAAGAAGGCCUUCGGGUUGUAAAGCACUUUUGUCCGGAAAGAAAUCCUUUGGGUUAAUACCUCGGGGGGAUGACGGUACCGGAAGAAUAAGCACCGGCUAACUACGUGCCAGCAGCCGCGGUAAUACGUAGGGUGCAAGCGUUAAUCGGAAUUACUGGGCGUAAAGCGUGCGCAGGCGGUUUUGUAAGACGGAUGUGAAAUCCCCGGGCUUAACCUGGGAACUGCAUUCGUGACUGCAGGGCUAGAGUAUGGCAGAGGGGGGUAGAAUUCCACGUGUAGCAGUG
rnacentral:rRNA from 1 species